rnacentral:rRNA from 1 species
UACGAAGGGGGCUAGCGUUGUUCGGAAUCACUGGGCGUAAAGCGCACGUAGGCGGAUUUGCCAGUCAGGGGUGAAAUCCCGGGGCUCAACCUCGGAACUGCCUUUGAUACAGCAAGUCUUGAGUUCGAGAGAGGUGGGUGGAAUUCCUAGUGUAGAGGUGAAAUUCGUAGAUAUUAGGAAGAACACCGGUGGCGAAGGCGGCCCACUGGCUCGAUACUGACGCUGAGGUGCGAAAGCGUGGGGAGCAAACAGG